UACGUAGGUGGCAAGCGUUGUCCGGAUUUACUGGGCGUAAAGAGCGCGCAGGCGGUCGUGCAAGUCGGGUGUGAAAGCCCCCGGCUCAACUGGGGAGGGUCACGCGAUACUGCUCGACUUGAAGGCAGGAGAGGGAAGUGGAAUUCCCGGUGUAGUGGUGAAAUGCGUAGAUAUCGGGAGGAACACCAGUGGCGAAGGCGACUUCCUGGCCUGUUCUUGACGCUGAGGCGCGAAAGCUAGGGGAGCAAACGGG
rnacentral:rRNA from 1 species